rnacentral:rRNA from 1 species
GGGUCAGUAGGUUGGUCGUGCCACCGGUACGUACUGGUCUCACUGAUUCCUCCUUCCUGAAGAACCGUAAUGCCACUAAUUUGGUGUUGCGGGGAAACAGGAUUGUUACUUUGAAAAAAUUAGAGUGUUUAAAGCAAGCUAACGCUUGAAUACAUUAGCACGGAAUAAUGAAAUAGGACGAUCGAUCCUAUUUUGUUGGUUUCUAGGAUUGACGUA